GAGUGCCCAUGACAGAGGAUUCGUCCAAUGGAUUGGGUUACUUAGUGGCGGACGGGUGAGUAACGCGUGAGGAACCUGCCUCGGAGUGGGGAAUAACACAACGAAAGCUGUGCUAAUACCGCAUGAUACAGUUGGGUCGCAUGACUCUGACUGUCAAAGAUUUAUCGCUCUGAGAUGGCCUCGCGUCUGAUUAGCUAGUUGGUGGGGUAACGGCCCACCAAGGCGACGAUCAGUAGCCGGACUGAGAGGUUGACCGGCCACAUUGGGACUGAGACACGGCCCAGACUCCUACGGGAGGCAGCAGUGGGGAAUAUUGGGCAAUGGGCGCAAGCCUGACCCAGCAACGCCGCGUGAAGGAAGAAGGCUUUCGGGUUGUAAACUUCUUUUCUCAGGGACGAAGCAAGUGACGGUACCUGAGGAAUAAGCCACGGCUAACUACGUGCCAGCAGCCGCGGUAAUACGUAGGUGGCAAGCGUUAUCCGGAUUUACUGGGUGUAAAGGGCGUGUAGGCGGGAUCGCAAGUCAGAUGUGAAAACUGGAGGCUCAACCUCCAGCCUGCAUUUGAAACUGUGGUUCUUGAGUACUGGAGAGGCAGACGGAAUUCCUAGUGUAGCGGUGAAAUGCGUAGAUAUUAGGAGGAACACCAGUGGCGAAGGCGGUCUGCUG
rnacentral:rRNA from 1 species